GCCGCCAAAGAAACAUAUUCCAGUUCUGUAUUCAUUAGAACUAUUUUCUAUUGAAAGUACCUUUUAUGAUCUGUGGUAGGGUGAUUCUUCUGUCACCUAGUUUUUAAUUCCCGCAAAUGUCUACAACUUGACCUAUUUGAAGUGUACAAUUGGAAAUGCCCUGGAGAUGAAGCUCUGCACAAGAAUAUCAUCGAAAAGAAACGUGUUUUAAAUUCUUGAUGGGAUUAGACAAGGAUCUUGAUGAAGUACGUGGAAGAAUUGCAGGAAUGAAGCCCUUAUGCAACUUUCGAAAAAGUUUUUUUCAAAGGUUCACUUGGAGGAAAGCGUCGAAAAGUGAUGAUGGAAUCACUAAUUUCUUCAUCCGCUAGAGAAGGAUUUGUUUUUGUUGUGUAUGGUUCCCAACAACCAACAAACAUUGACAACAAACCAAGGACGGAAUGACCUUGGUGUGAAUCUAGUCAUAUUAAGAAAAAUUAUUGGAAGAUUUAUGGAAAGCUGGCUGACUGGCAACUUGUUUGGUUUUCAAAUAACAAAGACAACCGUGUAUAUCUUAACUCUCCCAACGAUAAUUCUACUCAUGUUCAACAAAGAACAAAUGGAAUUACUCUAGAAAUUGUUCACUUAAUUACAUAAUAAUUCGACAUCUAAUUCUACCAUGAUUGGUAUAGGUUCUUUAGCUCAAAUAGGUAAUCUUACCAACAUCCUAAAUGUGAAAAAAAAAAAAAAAAGUAAAUAAGGGCCAUGGAUAGUGGAUUCCGGUGCUUCAUGUUGAGGUUGUCCUACAUUGGUUGUGGAUGGAAUUAGUAUUCAGUAUAUAAGUGUGAGUGAAAGCUCCACUUCUUGAGUAGCUUUCAGGGUUGAGAACGCUCAAGACCAACCAACACCAGUAUCAGAGCUCGAUUUAUCAACAAAUUCGACCCAAUAGUAACGGAGAUACGGGGUUGUGUGAGGGAAAGAUGAGUUUGGUCUCCCGCAGGCUUCGUUGUGUGGGAAAGAGAUGGGUUUGGUCUCCCAUAGGGCUCGACAUGUGGAGGGAGACUUGUUUGGUCUCUUGCAAAGCCCGGCGUGUGAGGGAAAGAUUGUUGAGGUGGUCCCACAUCAGUUAUGGAUGGAGUUGGUAUUCAAUUUAUACGUGUGAGGGAAAGCCUCACAUCUUGAACUAGCUUUUGGGGUGAGAGAGGCUCAAUAUCACCCAACACUGGUGGAGAUACAAGUUUGUGUGGGGAGGAGACGGGUUUAGUCUUCCACAUGCCUCGUUGUGUGAUGAAAAGAUGAAUUUGGUCUUCCAUAGGGCUCGAUGUGUAGAGAGAGACGAGUUUGGUCUCCCACAUAGCUCGAUGUGUAAGAAGGAGAUUGUUGAGGUUGUUCCACAUCAGUUGUGGAUGGAGUUGGUAUUCAGUCUAUAAGUGAG
rnacentral:lncRNA from 1 species